CGGGGCUGGGCACCAGGCCCCUCUGGUGCUGGCUUUUAUCUGGUCCCUAACUCAGCCCCUGCAGGCUGGAGCUGAUGCUGGGCCAGAUCCUGGUGUGGGUCCUGGGGAUACGGGGAUGAGGGUCUUCCCAGACCCUGAUGGGCAAGGGGAAGUGUACGCGCAGAGAGUUCCAAGCCCUGGACUAUUUGUGCAAAGCAUGUGGUGCACUGAGGAGGGACCUGACUACCCAGGAGUCGGGGGGAGGCCUUCUGGGAAGGCGAUACUUGGAAGAAUCUUCAAGGAUGUACUGGAAGUCACCGGGAAAGGAGAGGGGGCGGAUUGAUCAGAGGGAAUGGCAUGUGCUAAGGCUCAGAGGCUGGGCUGGAGAGCGAUGCCAUUGGACUCAACAGCAGCCCAGUUGAUUGGGGCCUGGUGGAGAGGUCCCUGGCUGGAGAGGAGGGCAGGUGCCUUUCUCAGCUGACAGUGCUUUUAUCUUGCUUCUGACCUCAGUGCCACUUCUCUGAGAUGUCCCCCAUCGGCCAGCUUGCCC
rnacentral:lncRNA from 10 species